rnacentral:rRNA from 1 species
UACGUAGGGUGCGAGCGUUGUCCGGAUUUAUUGGGCGUAAAGAGCUCGUAGGCGGUUUGUCGCGUCGGCCGUGAAAUCUCCACGCUUAACGUGGAGCGUGCGGUCGAUACGGGCAGACUUGAGUUCGGUAGGGGAGACUGGAAUUCCUGGUGUAGCGGUGAAAUGCGCAGAUAUCAGGAGGAACACCGGUGGCGAAGGCGGUUCUCUGGGCAUGUCCUGACGCUGAGACGCGAAAGCGUGGGGAGCAAACAGG